rnacentral:rRNA from 2 species
UGCUUAAUACAUGCAUGUUGAACGGAAUAUUUUAGUUCGCUAAAAUAUUUAGUAGCAAAUGGGUGAGUAACACGUACCUAACCUACCUUUUGGACUGGGAUAACCAUUGGAAACAGUGGCUAAUACCGGAUAUGAUAAAAAUUUGCAUGAAUUUUUAUUCAAAGGAGCCUUCAAGCUUCACCAAGAAAUGGGGGUGCGCAACAUUAGUUAGUUGGUAGGGUAAAAGCCUACCAAGACGAUGAUGUUUAGCGGGGCCAAGAGGUUGUACCGCCACACUGGGAUUGAGAUACGGCCCAGACUCCUACGGGAGGCAGCAGUAAGGAAUAUUCCACAAUAAGCGAAAGCUUGAUGGAGCGACACAGCGUGCAGGAUGAAGUCUUUCGGGAUGUAAACUGCUGUUGUAAGGGAAGAAAAAACUAGAUAGGAAAUGCUCUAGUCUUGACGGUACCUUAUUAGAAAGCGACGGCAAACUAUGUGCCAGCAGCCGCGGUAAUACAUAGGUCGCAAGCGUUAUCCGGAAUUAUUGGGCGUAAAGCGUCCGUAGGUUUUUUGUUAAGUUUAAAGUUAAAUGCUAAAGCUCAACUUUAGUCCGCUUUAGAUACUGGCAAAAUAGAAUUAUGAAGAGGUUAGCGGAAUUCCUAGUGGAGUGGUGGAAUACGUAGAUAUUAGGAAGAACACCAAUAGGCGAAGGCAGCUAACUGGUCAUAUAUUGACACUAAGGGACGAAAGCGUGGGGAGCAAACAGGAUUAGAUACCCUGGUAGUCCACGCCGUAAACGAUGAUCAUUAGUUGGUGGCAAAAGUCACUAACACAGCUAACGCGUUAAAUGAUCCGCCUGAGUAGUAUGCUCGCAAGAGUGAAACUUAAAGGAAUUGACGGGAACCCGCACAAGCGGUGGAGCAUGUGGUUUAAUUUGAAGAUACGCGUAGAACCUUACCCACUCUUGACAUUCUCGCAAAACUAUAGAGAUAUAGCCGAGGCUAACGAGAUCACAGAUGGUGCAUGGUUGUCGUCAGCUCGUGUCGUGAGAUGUUAGGUUAAGUCCUGCAACGAGCGCAACCCUUUUCUUUAGUUGCUAACAUUUAGUUGAGAACCCUAAAGAUACUGCCGGCGCAAGCCGGAGGAAGGUGGGGACGACGUCAAAUCAUCAUGCCUCUUACGAGUGGGGCAACACACGUGCUACAAUGGCUACUACAAAGAGCAGCAAAACAGUGAUGUCAAGCUAAUCUCAAAAAAGUAGUCUCAGUUCGGAUUGAAGUCUGCAACUCGACUUCAUGAAGUCGGAAUCGCUAGUAAUCGCAGGUCAGCUAUACUGCGGUGAAUACGUUCUCGGGUUUUGUACACACCGCCCGUCACACCAUGGGAGUUGGUAAUGCCCAAAGUCGGUGAGUUAACUUCGGAGACCAUUGCCUAAGGCAGGACCGAUGACUGGGGUGAAGUCGUAACAAGGUAUCCCUACGAGAACGUGG